CAGAAAUUAAGUGGCCCCACUCUUACAUUAUGUUUUUUUCUUCCUAAUUACAUUUUUUUUUCCUGCUGAAGACAAAGGAGUUUUGAGGCCUUCCAAGAAAAGACCCUACUAUCUACAUAAAGGAGCUAUUUAUCCAUGAGGGACAUAUAGAAAAUCAGCAAACAUCAGAGGCAAAUGUCAUUUUCACCAAGAGAAUAAAAACAGCCACAGCUACAAAUCAACAUCCUUAAAUCUCACCUACCAGCAAAUUGAACCCACCACAUCUCAUCUACCUGGAUACUAGCAUUAUCAGUGCUUUUGGAAAAUCUAGUAAUUUCAAUAAUAUUUCCACUACACACUUGGAAGAUCACUAUGUGGAAACAAAUCCAGAUAUAAAGAUAUUCUUUUUUAGGAUAUUCAUCAAAAUUACUUUGAAGAAGGCUUCCAUAUUUCAACUGCUCUAUGAUCUCCACUGUACUUUCCAGUCCUCAGCAAUCCCUAGGCCCAGCCAUCACAAACACCCGGAGGACAUCCCUCAUCACCAGAUACGUGUGCAGAUAUAUGAGCAUUUGUUGUACAUGAAUUGAUUUCAACGACAAACACGUUAGUGAUUCCUUGUUGAGUUUUUAAAGAAUUUCGAUUAGUUGUAUAGAACCUACAAUUCCCUUUUUAUAUUCUCAUUUUAUCAGGUUACCUAUUUAGAUAACUCAUGUAAUUACACUAAAAAGCACAACAAUCCUUCUCCUCCCAAAAACCUAACAACUGGCUCUUCAUAAACUAAUACUUCAAUCGGGUGAGAGCUGUUGUGAGCGUUCAGGGUAAUGAGGGCAGUAGUCAGAAUGUUUCAGAGGGGAACUGGAAAUGCUGGUUAAUCUGGCAAGUUGAUCGGGUUGAGACAGGUCUGAGAGAGCCUUUUCUGUAUUACCUCCCCCUAUAUGUAGAUAUAACAAGUGGCUCUAUGACGAUCCAGCAGCAGUUAGAAUUCCUUGUUCUCUAGUAAUAGCCAGUGGCUAGAAAUAGCUGUGAUAUAGUAACAUCUUAAUCAGUAUUUGUUGAGUGUGAACCUGGGUGUGAAAGUCAUGGAACUCUGAAAGCAAAGGGCCUUGGCUGUCUCUGAAUUAAUAUAUCCAGCCUCCUGACACCCGAAGUCUUAAGGCAGCUCUGGAUACAAAUCUAUCUGGUAUCAGAAGCCAGCAUGCUUGACUUGAGAAGAGGUUAGGAGCCUCUCUACUGCCCUCUGUCCAUCCAUCACUCUCUCAUCCCACCCAUACUUUCUCUUGAGGUGUUGUGUAAGCCUUUGGCCACAUGGCCAAGGUGCCAUUCAUCACCUCCCGGGCACAUCCCUCUUCCAGCCAGAAAUCAGCAUAACGAGCACUCACUAUUGAUGACUUGCAUGGAAACUGAACAUGAUUCUCGGCACAUCUGAUUUCACAUUAUAGACUUCCGGGGACCCACGUUGACUAAGCCUUUUGCUAUCCUAACCAAGAUCUCUGGAUUUGGCAGGUUGAAAGGAAUUGGAGGAGAACUUUAAAUCAGUGGAAAUGUUCAAAGUAAAAUGAGUACAUCAGUACGUUUGCAGAAAGAAAAAUAAAAGGGUUGUCUUCUGUUAUAAAUAAGGCUGA
rnacentral:lncRNA from 12 species